rnacentral:rRNA from 1 species
UACGUAGGUGGCGAGCGUUGUCCGGAAUUACUGGGUGUAAAGGGCGUGUAGGCGGGGCGUCAAGUCAGAUGUGAAAGUCCGAGGCUUAACUUCGGGUGUGCAUCUGAAACUGAUGUUCUUGAGUGUCGGAGAGGAAAGUGGAAUUCCCAGUGUAGCGGUGAAAUGCGUAGAGAUUGGGAGGAACACCAGUGGCGAAGGCGGCUUUCUGGACGAUAACUGACGCUGAGGCGCGAAAGCGUGGGUAGCAAACAGG